CAAAGGUCUUUUAUUUUUGUACAGUAUGAUAUUACAGAAUCAGUACCUUAUUUUAAAGAUCCAAUUUAUAUCUACAUGAUAUAAAAUCGAGUGAGAUUAGAUUUGUCAAACCUCUCUUUGAAUUCACUCCACACUAACUUUGCGUUGAAUGCAUAAAUAAUGAUUGGUUGUAAUUUUGCAGAAUGCGUCCUAUCCAUAGAAGAACAACUGGAUUAUACAUUUUUCCUUAAUUCGUCAAUUCUCCUUUGUAAGAGCUUUUCAAGCAGGUUCUUUCUAUGAACCCUAGCUUGUCUUUCACCAGAAGUGCCAUGCGUAUUGAUCUAUUUCACAAAUCAUAAUUUUCAAGUAUGGUGAGCUUAAUAUCAUGCAAUGCAACUCCAGAUGUGUCUAUAGCAGCUAAAAAUAGAGGAUGAUUCUGAUCAAUUUGAAGAUUUGCCGCUUACCCAUGGCUUACUGACUCGAGCUCUAACAAUGUCCGUUGUUCAGAUAUUAUAUAAUUUCGUCUCAAUUUCCAAUUACCCCAUUUUAUGCCAUGACAGAAUCUGAAUUGCAUGCACAAACGAAGAUCCAAAAGGAAGAAUCUGGAAGACUCAAAGAAUUGAGAGAAAGGAGAAGAAAUUGAUUUUCUACACC
rnacentral:lncRNA from 1 species